AAUCAACGCUGGCGGCGUGCCUAACACAUGCAAGUCGAACGCGAAAGGGGAGCAAUCCCUGAGUAGAGUGGCAAACGGGUGAGUAACACGUGGGUGACCUGCCUUCGAGUGGGGAGUAACGUCCCGAAAGGGACGCUAAUACCGCAUGACAUCCUGCUCUUGGAAGAGCGGAGAUCAAAGCUGGGGAUCGCAAGACCUGGCGCUUGAAGAGGGGCCCGCGCCUGANAGUCUAGUUGGUAGGGUAACGGCCUACCAAGGCAACGAUCAGUA
rnacentral:rRNA from 1 species